rnacentral:rRNA from 1 species
AACAGGAAGCAGCUUGCUGCUUCGCUGACGAGUGGCGGACGGGUGAGUAAUGUCUGGGAAACUGCCUGAUGGAGGGGGAUAACUACUGGAAACGGUAGCUAAUACCGCAUAACGUCGCAAGACCAAAGAGGGGGACCUUAGGGCCUCUUGCCAUCAGAUGUGCCCAGAUGGGAUUAGCUAGUUGGUGGGGUAACGGCUCACCAAGGCGACGAUCCCUAGCUGGUCUGAGAGGAUGACCAGCCACACUGGAACUGAGACACGGUCCAGACUCCUACGGGAGGCAGCAGUGGGGAAUAUUGCACAAUGGGCGCAAGCCUGAUGCAGCCAUGCCGCGUGUAUGAAGAAGGCCUUCGGGUUGUAAAGUACUUUCAGCGGGGAGGAAGGUGCUGUGGUUAAUAACCGCAGCAAUUGACGUUACCCGCAGAAGAAGCACCGGCUUACCCCGUGCCAGCAGCCGCGGUAAUACGGAGGGUGCAAGCGUUAAUCGGAAUUACUGGGCGUAAAGCGCACGCAGGCGGUCUGUUAAGUCAGAUGUGAAAUCCCCGGGCUCACACCUGGGAACUGCAUCUGAUACUGGCAGGCUUGAGUCUCGUAAGGGGGGUAGAAUUCCAGGUGUACAGGUGAAAUGCGUAGAGAUCUGGAGGAAUACCGGUGGCGAAGCGGCCCCACUGGACGAAGACUGACGCUCAGGUGCGAAUAGCGUGGGGAGCAAACAGGAUUAGGAUACCCUGGUAGUCCACG